CUUUACUGACGCUAAAGCUCGAAGGUGCGGGUAUCGAACAGGAUUAGAUACCCUGGUAGUCCGCACGGUAAACGAUGGAUGCCCGCUGUUUGCGAUAUACUGUGAGCGGCCAAGAGAAAUCGUUAAGCAUCCCACCUGGGGAGUACGCCGGCAACGGUGAAACUCAAAGGAAUUGACGGGGGCCCGCACAAGCGGAGGAACAUGUGGUUUAAUUCGAUGAUACGCGAGGAACCUUACCCGGGCUUGAACUGCAGGAGAACGAUUCAGAGAUGAUGAGGUCCUUCGGGACUCCUGUGGAGGUGCUGCAUGGUUGUCGUCAGCUCGUGCCGUGAGGUGUCGGCUUAAGUGCCAUAACGAGCGCAACCCCUUUCUUCAGUUGCCAUCAGGUCGAGCUGGGCACUCUGGAGACACUGCCACCGUAAGGUGUGAGGAAGGUGGGGAUGACGUCAAAUCAGCACGGCCCUUACGUCCGGGGCUACACACGUGUUACAAUGGGUGGUACAGAGAGCUGGCUGCCUGCAAAGUCAGCCGAAUCAUGAAAGCCAUCCUCAGUUCGGAUUGGGGUCUGCAACCCGACCCCAUGAAGCUGGAUUCGCUAGU
rnacentral:rRNA from 1 species